UAAUUGUCAUUCCUUUGAGAAGAGUAAUAGC
rnacentral:piRNA from 1 species